rnacentral:lncRNA from 1 species
UGGGGCUGAGUUUGAGAGUAAUAAAAUUUCCAACAUUGAGUGAGAGGAAAGUCAUGGUUAUUUGAAGGCAAGAUGUUGGGUUGUGCUGUUGUCACAGUGGCUUUGAUACCAAAAAGAGAAUUUGAAAAACAGAAGAAAAAGAAAAGAGUAAGUUUAUAUGUGAACAGGUUGGAGAUGUAACACCUUUAUUUUAUUUCCAGAAUACAGCAUAUAGAGGACCACGUCCUCUAUUUAAACACAAAAAAAACUGGGAUAACAAAAAUAAAAAAACUCUUGGGAUAACAAAAAAUAACAAAA